rnacentral:rRNA from 1 species
GAUCAUGGCUCAGGACGAACGCUGGCGGCGCGCCUAACACAUGCAAGUCGAACGAGAGAGAGGGAGCUUGCUUCCUCAAUCGAGUGGCGAACGGGUGAGUAACGCGUGAGGAACCUGCCUCAAAGAGGGGGACAACAGUUGGAAACGACUGCUAAUACCGCAUAAGCCCACAGGUCUGCAUCGACCAGAGGGAAAAGGAGCAAUCCGCUUUGAGAUGGCCUCGCGUCCGAUUAG